UGUCAGGUCCGGAUUGAGACGAAGAAAAAAGGGUUUGACAGCUAACCAGUCAGCAGAGUGGGAGCUUCCUGCAUAUAGUUUUGUUUUUUGGGUUGUUGGCCUUUUCUUGCUGUUUCGUCGAUUUCAGUCCAAUCAUGACAUCCACCAUAGACGAAAGCAAUAAGGAAAAGAUGCGCUCUGUGUCUGUAGAUCUAAACCAUGAUGCCUCUCUUCUCAUUGACAUUCCUGAUGCGCUCUGUGAAAGGGACAAAGUCAAGUUUACAGUCCAUACAAAGACCACCAUUAGCUCUUUCCAGAAGCCAGAGUUCUCCGUUCCCAGGCAGCAUGAAGACUUCAUCUGGCUACAUGACACUCUGGUUGAGACAGAGGACUAUGCUGGUCUUAUAAUUCCACCAGCACCCCCGAAGCCGGACUUUGAGAGCCCAAGAGAGAAAAUGCACAAACUGGGGGAAGGUGAAGCAACUAUGACUAAGGAGGAGUACAGUAAAAUGAAGCAGGAGCUGGAGGCUGAAUACCUGGCUGUGUUCAAGAAAACUGUCCAAGUGCACGAAGUCUUCCUGCAGAGAGUGUCUUCUCACCCCAUGUUGAGCAAAGACAGAAACUUCCAGAUUUUCUUAGAGUAUGACCAGGAUCUUACUGUGAGAAGAAAGAAUGCCAAGGAAAUGUUUGGAGGAUUCUUUAAAAAUAUGGUGAAGUCGGCUGAUGAGGUCCUAAUCUCAGGAAUAAAGGAAGUGGAUGAAUUUUUUGAGCAGGAGAAGACAUUCCUGCUUGACUACUACAGCAAGAUAAAGGAUUCUACUGCCAAAGCAGAGAAAAUGACCCGCUCGCACAAAAACAUUGCGGAUGAUUACAUUCACAUCUCUGCCACUCUGAACAGUCUCGCUGCUGAUGAUAGCACAGCAAAUAAAAAGCACCUGGAGAAGUUGUCAGACCUUUUUGAGAAGCUCCGAAAAGUGGAAGGAAGAGUAGCAUCUGACCAGGAACUGAAGCUCACAGAGCUGCUCAGAUAUUACAUGAGAGACAUCCAGGCUGCCAAGAUUUUAAGAUUCUCUCUCUUCAUUUUCCUAUUUCUCAUUUUAAACUUUCUGGAACAUGUCAGGACCUUUUGUACAGGCGAGCCCGGGCCUUAGUUGACUACGAGAACUCUAAUAAGGCUUUGGAUAAGGCUCGACUGAAAAGCAAGGACAUUCCCCAGGCAGAGGAGCACCAGCAGCAAUGUCUGCACAAAUUUGACAAGCUCUCAGAGUCUGGGAAGAAAGAACUCACCAGUUUCAAGGGCAGGCGUGUCGUGGCCUUCAGGAAGAACCUCAUAGAGAUGGCUGAGCUGGAGAUAAAACAUGCCAAGAACAAUGUGACUGUAUUGCAGGGAUGCAUUGAACUGCUCAAGAGCAACUGACAAAUAUUUGAGUUUUCAUGUCCUACCAUCACUAAGUGACCAGUCAUAGAAAAUGAAAGCUUGGUGUCCCAGAGACCUUGUAUGGUCGUGACUCCAAGCCCUAUCUUUGCUCCCCACCACGGGUCUGAUGCCACUUUAAACCCCUGCACGAGACUGAGCGUCUUGAAAGCAGAAUGUCUUCAUGUCUACAGAGUCCCUGUCCCCAGGUCAACGGUCCAUCCUUUUCCAUUAUUUAUGGAAGUCUAACUCAAUAUGGCUUCAGCCUAUUUCUUGUUUUCCUGCUUUUACAUUAUGCACAUAGUAAAAAAAAAAAAAAGCCUUUGUGAUCAUGUUUUUGCCUCCAUAAAUUCUGACUAAGUUUUUCUCUCAUGUACACUCUUAAAUACCCCCCCCCCCCUUUUUUUCUUCUGCAAUGCAUAUUGUUGAAUAGCUAUAAUAUGUUUUAUUAUUCAUAUGCUUAAUCUGUUGCGGCUUUUUUUGUUUGUAAAUGGAACAAUUUUAAGGAGGUAAACCUAGUGCCUGUGCUCUGGUGUAAGACUUUAAACAAACCACCCAUUCAGUAAAGACAGACUGAUGACUGACUCGAUAAGCGGCAAUCUACAAGUGAGUCAGGAAUGGAUAGUUAGAUUGUUACCCCCAUUUUUGUAUGCAAGAAGUGGCACAGAUCCCACAGUUAUCGAAGAUUAACAGUAUUUUUGCAAAUAUGGCUGAACCAUAGGAGAGCAGAAGAGGUCAAACACUCUAUCAUUUUUAUCAAAGCUAUAUCAAUAUUAGUUCUGACUCUAAAUUAGCAUUUUGGUUUUAUUUGCACAAAGCUUGCACUACAUGUAGGAUGCCCUUAACAGCUUCUUCCCCCCACCAACUUCUGUCCCCCACUUUUCCGUGUGUGCUUAUUGUUGUUCCUUCUUUAUUUUGCCCUAAAUUCCACUUGGUUUGUAGUGGGGUCUCGUGUAGAUCCUUUAAACAUUUUGCUUGUUUAAAGCAAUUGUAAAAAAGAUGCACUAAGAAGAUUGAAAAACACUUUACAAUCAUGACCGGCUCAGCGGAUGUUAAAAUGCAUUAUAGUUUUCUAAGAAAUUGAAUGUAUUUGUAAUGGAUUCCAGCUGUGUGAAGACGACAUUAUGCUUUUCUUACAGAACAUUAGCAUUUUUAUAAAUUUGUAAUAAUGGCAUUGAAUAAAUCUUACUUUCUCAAGA